GACGAAGGUGGCGAGCGUUGUUCGGAAUCACUGAGCAUAAAGCGCACGUAGGCAAUACCAUAAGUCAAAUAUGAAAUCCCUCAACCUAACCGAGGAACUGCGUCCGAUACUGCGGUGCUUGAGGAUCAGAGGGGUGCAUGGAAUUUCCGGUGGAGCGGUGAAAUGCGUUGAUAUCGGAAAAAACUCCGGCGGCGAAAGCGAUGCACUGGCUGAUUUCUAACGCUGAGGUGCGAAAGCCAGGGGAGCAAACGGG
rnacentral:rRNA from 1 species